UGAUAUACUACAUGACACAACAUCUGUCAAUUCUUAGCACCGUGAACGGUUAAAAGCUGCUUACAUGUUGGAGUAAAUCAGAUUGUUCUAACCAGACACACCACAGAGAUGAAGCUGUUCUUACUUCUGUUGAUAUUCACCUGUGUUGCCUGGCAACAGUCUGACGCUAUGCAACAUAUAUUUCGAUUGCCAAGCUGGAUGGACCGCCUAGGUUCCAUUAGAAGAUUCGGCCCAAUAAUCAUAUCGAAAAGAGCAGAACUCGACACAGAUCAGGACGGAUAUCUGGACGAGACAGAGUUAGAAAAACACACCAAUGAGCGAGACAUUCUAGAUUUCAUAGAUGCUUUAGAUGAAAACGGUGAUGAUCUCCUAUCUGUUGAUGAAUUUAAUGACAAGUAGUAAUCAGUAAAUCAGAUUGUGCCAAUGUUAAACAGAUGAAGCAGAUAUUCUAAAACGGUCAGCAGUGUAUACAUAGAAUAAAACAAUUUUAAACAAAA